rnacentral:rRNA from 1 species
GUAAGGAAUAUUGGACAAUGGGGGAAACCCUGAUCCAGCCAUGCCGCGUGAGUGAAGAAGGCCUUCGGGUUGUAAAGCUCUUUCAGAUGUGAAGAUGAUGACGGUAACAUCAGAAGAAGCUCCGGCUAACUUCGUGCCAGCAGCCGCGGUAAUACGACGGGAGCGAGCGUUGUUCGGAAUCACUGGGCGUAAAGAGUGCGUAGGCGGUUAUACAAGUCAGGAGUGAAAUCCCAGGGCUCAACCCUGGAAUUGCUUUUGAAACUGUAUAGCUAGAGUCCCGGAGGGGUUAAUGGAAUUCCGAGUGUAGAGGUGAAAUUCGCAGAUAUUCGGAGGAACACCAGUGGCGAAGGCGAUUAACUGGACGGGCACUGACGCUGAGGCACGAAAGCGUGGGGAUCAAACAGGAUUAGAUACCCCUGUAGUCC